UCCUGUUAGUUUACAACACGUUUUUCUUUUCAUUAACGAAACAGAUCAAACAAAACGUCAGAGCUAAUUAAAAAAUAGUGAGUCAUGCUCUCAAAUAAAAAACUGCAGUUUUUUCCAGUGUUGAGGGAAUACUAUGGAACAAGAUCAGAGAUCAUUAAUAUCUUUUGCUUUGGACAUCGAUCAACUAAAAAGAAAAAUUGAAGAGCGUCGUAGGGAUCUUGAAGUAGCGAGUGACGUUACGCCAAUUGACUAGAAGCCAACAAGAGAAAAGCACUCACCGCACCACCGCCGCACUUGUGCAGUCAACAAGAAUCGGCCUACCUAAAUAAUUGUUUCCUUAAAUUUGUUCACAUGUAUAACACAGAUACAUAAAAUAUAUGGAUAAAUUUCACGAA